UACGUAGGGGGCUAGCGUUGUCCGGAUUUAUUGGGCGUAAAGAGCGUGUAGGCGGCCAGGUAGGUCUGCUGUGAAAACUCGAGGCUCAACCUCGAGACGUCGGCGGAAACCAUCUGGCUAGAGUCCGGAAGAGGAGAGUGGAAUUCCUGGUGUAGCGGUGAAAUGCGCAGAUAUCAGGAGGAACACCAAUGGCGAAGGCAGCUCGCUGGGACGUUACUGACGCUGAGACGCGAAAGCGUGGGGAGCGAACAGG
rnacentral:rRNA from 1 species